rnacentral:sRNA from 1 species
GGCAGGAGACUCGCUUGAGCCCAGGAGUUGGAGGUUGCUGUGAGCUGAGAUGCCAUGGCACUCUACCCAGGGGGACAGCUUGAGGCUCCUGUCUCAAAAAAAAAAAAAUUAUUUAUUUUUUUGGGACAAAGUCUCAAGCUAUCACCCUGGAUAGAGUGCUGUGGCGUCACAACUCACAGCAACCUCAAACUCUUGGGCUUAAGCAAUUCUCCUGCCUCAGCCUCCCAAGUAGCUGGGACUACAGGCGACUGCCACAGCGCCUGGC